rnacentral:tRNA from 3 species
GGGGCCUUAGCUCAGCUGGUCAGAGCAGGGGACUCAUAAUCCCUUGGUCGCGGGUUCAAGCCCCGCAGGCCCUA